rnacentral:lncRNA from 1 species
CUCCGAGUAGCUGGGACCACAGGCACCCACCAACACGCCCGGCUAAGCACUGGCCAACUUUUGAUGGCUGUGUCUGGAAAUCAUCCCAUUGGGAAACACAUUUAUGAGCAGACAUGACCUUGGUUCAGUGUAGGGUCAAUUUCCCACUGGAAGUGGAGGGAAGCCAUCUGCGCAAGCCAACUGGAGCUUUCUAGGGGUGCCAGCCUGUCCUAACAACAGCCCUGUUAUGAGAGAAAGAGGCACAAAGACAGAAAUCAAUUAUGUAUCCAGGCCUGACAUCAACCAGGUCUGUGUCUAAGCUGCAUCCUUCUCUGAAUGAGUGCUACUGGAAGCGUGUUCCAACUAAGACCUGGGCCCAACCCUGCCUUUUUUUCUUGACUUAAUUAAAUAAAUCAAAGGGAACUUAAGUUCCCUGGUUUGAGUACUUACUACUGCAUUAUUCUGGAAUUGGC